AAUGUCUUGAUUUCUUUCUUUUGAUGUUGUGGUAAAAUAUGCGAGAUCUUGACGGGUUUGGUGAGGUUCCUGAUGACCCUUUGAAUCUCUAUCUCUCUCUCUCUCUCUCUCUCUCUCUCUCUCAGUUUCUCUCUGCUCAUGUCAGACUGUUUCUCCUCAAGCUCCUGUGGACAAUCUUUCUGUCAAGGUUUAAUCUCAGUAAAAGCACUGGCCGAUUUCAAAGGGAGAUUCGGACACGUUCUGUGACAUCAAGCAGUCGACUUCCUGUUUCCCUUCAUCAGUUAACAAACCAAGUCUUUGAUUUUAUAUCUGUAAAAUGGCAUUUGACUUAAAAUAGAUAAAAAAGUGUCUUUACUCGA